CGUAGUAAUUCUAGGAGAGCUAAUACAUGCAUAUACACCGGACUUUAGGGAACGGUUGUAUUUAUUAGACACAAACCAACCGUCUCCGGAAGUAUGUUUGGUGAUUCAUAAUAACUUGAUGGAUCGCAUGAUUUUUCCAGCGACAAAUCAUUCAUGUUAUUGCCCUAUCAGCUUUGGAUGGUAGGGUG
rnacentral:rRNA from 14 species